rnacentral:rRNA from 1 species
UACGGAGGGGGCUAGCGUUGCUCGGAAUCACUGGGCGUAAAGGGCGCGUAGGCGGCCAUUCAAGUCGGGGGUGAAAGCCUGUGGCUCAACCACAGAAUUGCCUUCGAUACUGUUUGGCUUGAGACCGGAAGAGGUAAGUGGAACUGCGAGUGUAGAGGUGAAAUUCUUAGAUAUUCGCAAGAACACCAGUGGCGAAGGCGGCUUACUGGUCCGGUUCUGACGCUGAGGCGCGAAAGCGUGGGGAGCAAACAGG